UUUUUUACUUAUUCUUAGCCAUUUAGCACUCUGAUUUUCCCUAACAUGACAGUGCACUCCAGCACAAUUGGUUGCACCGAUCCGCUGGGCAUGAAAUCCCGUCUCAUCUCUGAUGUGCAGCUUACAGCAUCUAGCAGCUUCCGCACCUGGGGUAUAGAUGCCUUUACCUGGUAUCCCUUCUAUGCUCGCCUGGACAAACAAGGCAAGACUAACGCUUGGGCGGCAGCGAACAACAACCGCUCAGAGUGGCUCCAGCUGGAUUUGGAGAAACCUAAAAGAAUCACAGGCAUCAUCACUCAGGGAGCAAAAGACUUUGGAGUUGUGCAGUUUGUUUCAGCCUUUAAGAUUGCAUAUAGUGAUGACGGACAAUCUUGGAGCAUGGUGAAGGAUCAAAUAACGAGAACAGAUAAGAUUUUCCAAGGCAACAUAGACAACAACACACACAAAAAUAAUUUGUUUGAGCCUCCGUUCUUUGCUCGAUUUGUGCGGUUUCUGCCCUGGGAGUGGCAUGAGCGGAUAACUUUACGCAUGGAGCUGCUGGGCUGUGAUGAUUAGCGGAUGUGCUGAAGGCUGCACACUGCCUCUCUCUGCACUGCUUCCACCUGAAGUGUUUCUGCUGGUUGUAGACAACACAAAUCUACCAGAGAAGAUGUCAUGCUUCAAAUCCACCAGAAGAUGGCAGAAGACUUUAGGCUUCAUACUCUAUAACAAGGUUCUCUAGGCGACAUGGGAGAAACAGGUUAGGGCAUCACAAACAGCCUAAAAGGGGUCCAUUCAGUCACAGGGAAGUUCAUUCCUUCCACUCCACCCAAUUAGGCAAACAUUAUCAUCUGUUUAAAAAUACAUUUCUAGACUGGGUUUGGUGAGGUAAAAACCAUUUUCUUUCCAUCCUACCUGUACAUUGUGAAUAACCUCUCUGAGUACUCUUUGCCCUUCAUUCCUGCUCUGUAUGACAGACUACCAGCCAACAAACAAAUCAGUCCUGUAUUAAACAUGAUGUAUGGAAUGUUUUAAUGGCACGUUGUUGCAUUUGCUGUAAUACAGUUAUUCAAACACAAAGUUCAUCUGAAGACAUUCAUGGAUAAAUUGAAAUUCUCCUACUAUAAGACAACAGAUUAUCACAAUGACAGUAUCGUCUCAUAUUUUCCCACGUUUUCACUGUUGACUGGUCACUCAUCCAUCUCAAUUCAAGAAAUGAUAGGUUUUCUAUGCCACAGAGUAUCAAACCGCUUGCAAUUCAUGAGAA